AUGGAAACCCUGGAGGACAAUUUCAAGCCUGUCCUGGAGACCUCCGUCAUCCAUGUUGAAAGGAUCCCUGACCAGUGGACUGUCCUUAAGGUGCUGAUGUCCAGUCACUGCAGAUGUCCUGGUUCCAUGUCAACAGGAGCCAUCAGCAUUCCUGCUGAUUUGCUGGCAUUGGUUGACCUGGUCCUGUCCUUCCCUGCCUCCUCAGCUGAAUGUGAAAGAGGUUUUAAUACCACGAAACAGCCAGGAGGAGUGAGGGCGUGUUCUUCCUGUCUUCCUCCCUGCUGCAGCUGCAUCUAACAUCCCAGCACAGCCUUGGCUCUUGGCAAUAAGGUGCACCUGGCAUUACUUCUAUUACGCUUUGACGGUGCAUGCGUAAUCAGUUGUAUAUGGGUUCAGAAAAAGAGCCAAACAAUUUAGCAUAAAUAAAUAAAAGAAUAGACCUGCUUUAUGCUACUAAAGCCACCUCUGUUCCCGUCUAAAUGACCGGGAAAGAGCGUGACAGCUUGUAAUAGUACAUUCCCUGUAUAAAGGAGUAGUUGGAUGGUAAUUGUAGGGGUGGUAGCAGUUGUGGUGAGUGUAUUCACUGUACAUUUUUUUAUAGUAACAGUAAUGGUGGUGGUGGUGGUGGUGGUGGUGGUGGUGGUGGUAGUAGUAGUAGUAUGCUAGUAGUAGUAGAGGUACUGUAGUUGUAGUAAUGGUGGGGGUACCACUACUAGUACAUUGAUGGAAUUAAGGAGUAAUUGAGUAGUACAGUAGUAGCAAUAAUAGUAUAUUGACUGUAUAUAAAAUUAGCAGCAGUACAUAUUGUCAUCAAAUCUUAAACAAAAUAAUUAGAUUUUUACUGGGCAGCCCAUAUACAAUCGAUCAUUUAAACAUUUUUAAAAGGUGCUUCCAUGUGUGUUUGUCAACUUUCUGUAUAACAUUUCACUUUAACCAAACACUAAGUUUUUGCAAGCAUUUCUGUUUGUGUGGAAAUGGGCUUUUCUGCAUCUGGUAUCUAUUUACGGGACAAAUAAGUGGCCCAAAUCAUAUGCAUUUUCCCAAAGUUUCUCCAGUUGCAUGCAAUCUUUUUCAGAUUAUUGAAAACGCACAGUACAGACUGUACUAUUUGUUAAAAUUGUCUAGUCUUAUUUAGUACAUUAUUUUAAAUGGUGAGGCAAGUGGAGGAAACUUGAAUCAUGAGGUUUAUGAAUGGGGAACUGGGUGUGGCUAUAUUUAACCUGAUUAAUCGCCCAGACUGCUUUCGAACAAAGAGAACUGACAUACUGGUAUCUGGUUACAGUCAACAAUACAACUUGAACAGACUUUUUUCAUUUAUUUUUGCCCAACCAAACCCUAUAAUUCUAAUUCAAACACAUUCCCUGAUUCAGCCCUUAUAGUGUUGUAAUGUUUUGACUUUUGUGUUGCUAUCAUUCAUUCCAAAGAUUUUCUCAUCUGACGAGUUUAUUCCCUUCAUCAUAUACGAAACGGACAUAAAGCAUUCAUGAAAACAUACAUGCAUACUGUACUCCUCAUUGAAAUUGCUUAGUAGGGAACUACUGAAGAACCAUAGACAUCACCAUGUGAAAAAACCGUAUGGGAAAGUGCACCACAAUAGCACUUUAAUUCUUCAAAUUAAGCAAAGUUAUUUUUGUGUGUUUUGUUCCUGCUGACUUGGCGCUGGUCUAUGGAAAGACUGGUUUAUCAUAAAGCUUCACUGAGCCAUGCAGAGGGUAAAAUGAAUCCAGCUUUCCUGGAUGGCUGAAGCCCUGCAUACUUGCCAUUCCUCUGAGGUAUACAUUGACGUGUUAGUUAACAAAUCAAGAUCUUUGGACCCCAUGGCAUUCCCUAAAUGCAGCGCAUGUUAAAAAAGGAAAUCACCCAAGCUGACAUUAUCCUUUUUACAAAUAUUUUAUAGGUUGUGUAUAUAAUGUAUAGUAACUGCAGAUUUUAUUUCACCUGAACAUUCUCCCAUACAGAGUACAUGUUUUCCCUCCUCACGAUGUUAAAUAAAAUUAUGAUUAUUAAAGUGUGACUUUAAGUGACAGGGCCAUCCCUUUACACUAAGAUGUAUCAGCCAUUAUUCUCCUUUUGAACAAGGGAAUGGAAGUGUGUACAACAGGGAGGGAUUUGAAUUAAAAAUGUUUUUUUAAAGUCAAAGUAAAGACUGUUUUCUUUUAUGUGAGGGUAUGCUUGGUAAGUAUUGGUUUUAUUAUUGAUAAAUGGCUAUAACCUGUACAAAUAGUCCCCAUAUUUCACAGCACCAAAAUAUAUAUAAUAUAUAACAUGUGUCCAAAUCCAGCACUUAUAUUUAUUUCAUUUUGGACCUGAAAUACUGUGGUUGCUGUUUCCUGGUAGUUUAGCUGACAAUAUAUUUCUGUACAUUUCCGAAUUCAUUCUGUUGGGGCUGUCAUCAGUUACAUCAUCAAUAAAUACAAGUUGGUCAGUUCCAGUGGCAGCCAUACAUGCCCAAGCUAGAACACUACCUCUACCAUAUUUAUAGAUAUGAAAUUAAUUUUAAAAACUAUGAUUGAGGCCCAGGUGCAACUGCACAUCCUGCACCACUGUUACCCCACUGGAUUAGAGGUUAUGCAAGGAAUAUUUGUUCUCCAGACUUUUCUCUUGCCAUCACUUGGGUACAUGAGGAAACAACAGCAUAUUUGGCAGGUGGUCAUAAUGUUUUGGCUUGUCAGUGUAUAUGUACUGUGUAUGUGUCUUGCAUAUGGAUUCUGAUCCCUGACAAAUUCUAUUAUGAAUUACGAAGUGUACAUAUUCAGCCCCUGCCCAUGGAAGCUCCCAUUGACACAAAUGAAAAGAAUUAUCCUAAAAGGACAUGUUUAGACCAUUGGCAUUAAAAGUGCUGACUUUUUUUUGUUGAUAAAACCUUACUGCUGAAGAAUCAUUGGUCAGGCUGUGAAUCUGAAAUAAAAUCACGACAGCAAAAUGUUAGAGUAAUACAAAUGUAUAGUUUAAGAAAAGGGUACAAACUGUCCAAGUAUUUGAAAGUCCCAGUGAGCAAAGUUAGAACAAUAAUUGGGAAGUGUUAGCUGCAUCACAUCACCCAGGCACUGCCAAUCGAAGACCAUCUCUCAAUACUCAGAGCUCAAACAAUAAGGAGGCUUGUGAGAGAAGCCAAGAAGUAAUGGUCCAACUAAUAAACAUAGUCAGUUCUUACCGGAAACCCAAGUGGUCAUUGGUCAGCGAUGUAUCAGCUGUUGCCAAGGAUUGCUCCAGUCACAAAAUGUCAUGUUUUCCUAUUGACUGUCUAAUCAUCAGGUUACUUGCUCAGUCUGAUGAAGCUGCUUGGUUCUCCGUUUCCUUUUCAUGGGGGGGAUAUACACGAUCAUGUGAUGGCAGUGAGUUACCCCAGAGGAGAAGAACCUAACGCCAAGUCCUGUAAACAUUAUUUUUGUACAUGUUCCAAUAAAUAGUUAAACUAAUAUGUGAUGUUUUCUUGAUUAAUUAUGGCUUGUACAGCAGGGUGGCAAGAAAGAAG
rnacentral:lncRNA from 1 species